rnacentral:rRNA from 1 species
CAAGUCGAACGCGAAAGUCCCCUUCGGGGGGCAAGUAGAGUGGCGCACGGGUGAGUAACACGUAGGUAAUCUACCUUUGGAUUGGGAAUAACAACCGGAAACGGUUGCUAAUACCGAAUAAUGCAGCGGCACCUAGUGGUGACAGUUGUUAAAGCGGGGGAUCGCAAGACCUCGCGUCUGAAGAGGAGCCUGCGGCAGAUUAGCUAGUUGGUAAGGUAACGGCUUACCAAGGCUAUGAUCUGUAGCCGGCCUGAGAGGGCGGUCGGCCACACUGACACUGACAUACGGGUCAGACUCCUACGGGAGGCAGCAGUCGGGAAUUUUGGGCAAUGGGCGCAAGCCUGACCCAGCAACGCCGCGUGAAGGAUGAAAUCCUUCGGGAUGUAAACUUCGCAAGAACGGGAAGAAUAAGUGAGAGUUAAUAUCUCUUACGAUGACGGUACUGUUUGUAAGCUCCGGCUAACUCCGUGCCAGCAGCCGCGGUAAUACGGGGGGAGCAAGCGUUGUUCGGAUUUACUGGGCGUAAAGGGCGUGUAGGCGGCCACCGCAAGUCGACUGUGAAAUCUCCGGGCUUAACCCGGAAAGGUCAGCCGAUACUGCGGGGCUAGAGUGCAGAAGGGGCAACUGGAAUUCUCGGUGUAGCGGUGAAAUGCGUAGAUAUCGAGAGGAACACCUGCGGCGAAGGCGGGUUGCUGGGCUGACACUGACGCUGAUGCGCGAAAGCUAGGGGAGCGAACGGGAUUAGAUACCCCCGGUAGUCCUAGCCUUAAACGAUGAAUGCUUGGUGUCUGGGGUUUUAUAGUCCCCGGGUGCCGUCGCUAACGCUUUAGCAUUCCGCCUGGGGAGUACGGUCGCGAGACUGAAACUCAAAGGAAUUGACGGGGACCC